GCGGUAGAGCAUUGCUCCUUGCUGCAUUUGUGUCAGAUCCCUCAGUGGUUUCUGUAAAGCACUUCUGCGUCAUUGCACCCUCAUAUUGACAAGAGGGUGCUCCACCCAGUACUCGUGGGCUGGGACCAAAACGCAAGCCACUGAAAUAGUCAUCGAAUUAUGAGGGCGAAGAUUCGCUAUGGUUACUGGAAUGGCAUCUGAAGCCCCACUGUCUGGAAUCCAGUCCUGUCUUCACCGCGUCCUUUGGCUCAAGUCUCAGAAGGGAUCAAGCCUGGGGACCAGCCGAUAUCCUGUGCCAGUGUCCAGUGCUCCUGACCCUACCACUUAAGUAGAAAGAGCAUGGCUUUGGAGUCAGACAGAUAAGAUUCAGUUCCUCCUCCAGCAUUCACAAACUGGGUGCCUUGAGCCACAGGACUUCUGAGAAAUUAUACUACAAAAGUGGUGUCGGAUGAAGAGGUGAUCAAAGGAUACACAGGCCCAAAAUAUAAAAAAGGAAGCAAGGAGAUUUUUUUUGUAGACACACUCUAUGUGCAUUAGAAGGAAGCCAUUAUUGUAGGCAUUAAAAACGAUGGAGUCAUGAAGCUGAUGGGAUGUGAAGAUGUCCUUUCAUACAGCCCCUGCAAUCAGCCAGUUUAAAAGGUGUCUCUGGGCAGGGCAGGAGAGUUUUGGGCCCACAAGGUGAGAUUCUCUUCAUCAGAUU